CGUGCGGGAACCAGGCGGGGCCGCGGGGCCGGGGGAGGAGCUCAGGAGCAGAUGCGGCCUCGCGUCUGACCCACGCCGGUGCCCCCCGCCGCGGCCUCCGUCCUCUCCUGCCCGUUUUUUCUGCCCACGCCAACGCGCUUCCGUCCGCUGUCCGGCGAUCCAAUCGACCGCGCGACCGGCCCGACCCGACACACGGCCGUGGCGUCGUCGGCCUUGCGCCGCUCAGAUGCAGAGCAGAGCCCGUGCGGCCUACCACCAACUAAAGAUCACCUUUGGACAUGCACAGCACAGGGGGCCUCCGCGCUCCGGCGCCGGCAAAAGUUUGGCGCCGAUUGGUCACUGGCGACCACGCUUCGCACACACCAAAUGUAUUGAUUGAAGCAAGCAAACCCGGCUGAGAGCACGUAAGCUGCAAAAGGCAACGCACUUUCCUUUUGAGAGGGGGGUACAGCCACAGCGGCAGGAAACGGGGAAAGAGGGUGGCCUUUCGCUUCCAUGAAAGAAAACCACAGAGAUUUAUUUACUGAUGAAGAGGUUUCUGACAUGAAAAUGGGGGAAAAAAAGCUUAUGUUUUUAGUUUGAACAGAAGUUCCAUGAAUGAGUUCAGAAGAAGCUUAAAUUUGCAUAA